AACAGAGAAAGUAAUAGAAAGUCGUGGCUAUUCGUUUUCUUUGUGUACUAAACUAAUAGCACUAGUAGUUUCUUUAUAUCAAGUAUACAGCACCACCGGUACCUUCGGGGCUUUGACAUAUUAAUAUUCAAUACGUUAUCAGCACGAAUUGCUCGAUAACUACGAUAGACUCCUUAGGCCGUUGGUGGAGAGAAAAUCAUGAGUAGAGGAGAUACAACGAUGCCGACGAUAACGACCGGAAGAGAAUAUCAUUUUUCUUCCCUCUUCUAGUUUUUAUUAAUUUUUGGUUUUUCAGCUUUGUAUUAAGCUAGUACUAAUCAUUUAUAUCUUCUCUGCUAUCAACAGGGUGUUAGUUUCUGUACCGGUUUAUGAUUACUAAAUCAUACCUGUGAGAAGAAGACAUUAAUAUACUUACCCUUUCUAAAGGCGGGUGCUCAUAAUUUUAAAAUUUUGAAAUAAUUCCACCAGAAGCUGGAAUAUCGUGUGGCAUGGUAUGGAUACAAAAGGCGCGCUCCGCUAGCAGGUCGGUUCCAGAAGUGACCCAUUACAAAAGUGCUAGCUGGUUUGUAUCGUUGGUCCAUGAAGUGACCUGUCACCGAUAUUUCAUGUAAUUUUUCCAUAAUAAGUGUGUCCAUUUGCACACUUGUAAAUAAAUAUUUCGUCGACCUUGAGGGUGACGAAGUUGGAGAUUUGUUUUCAUUAUAUUAGUAUCAUAUGUGUUUUGAAGUUUAUCUUUUGUUUUAAGUUUUGUUUAUUUUUCUUUGCUUAUUUUUGUAAGUAAUGGAUUAAAGAAGCAAUCCAUUAAAUGUUGUCGACUCCAGAAAUAGUCCAACAUUUUUUUU